GGGGAAUAUUGGGCAAUGGGCGCAAGCCUGACCCAGCAACGCCGCGUGAGGGAAGGAGGUCUUCGGAUUGUAAACCUCUGUCCUUGGGGACGAAAAAAAUGACGGUACCCAAGGAGGAAGCUCCGGCUAACUACGUGCCAGCAGCCGCGGUAAUACGUAGGGAGCGAGCGUUGUCCGGAAUUACUGGGCGUAAAGGGUGCGUAGGCGGCGCUGCAAGUCAGAUGUGAAAUCCCCGGGCUUAACCCGGGUUCUGCAUUGGAAACUGCAGUGCUUGAGUGCAGGAGAGGAAAGCGGAAUUCCUAGUGUAGCGGUGAAAUGCGUAGAUAUUAGGAAGAACACCAGUGGCGAAGGCGGCUUUCUGGACUGUAACUGACGCUGAGGCACGAAAGCGUGGGGAGCAAAC
rnacentral:rRNA from 1 species